rnacentral:rRNA from 1 species
CGACCUUGAAAUACCACCCUUUAAUGUUUGAUGUUCUAACGUGGACCCGUGAUCCGGGUUGCGGACAGUGUCUGGUGGGUAGUUUGACUGGGGCGGUCUCCUCCUAAAGAGUAACGGAGGAGCACGAAGGUUGGCUAAUCCUGGUCGGACAUCAGGAGGUUAGUGCAAUGGCAUAAGCCAGCUUGACUGCGAGCGUGACGGCGCGAGCAGGUGCGAAAGCAGGUCAUAGUGAUCCGGUGGUUCUGAAUGGAAGGGCCAUCGCUCAACGGAUAAAAGGUACUCCGGGGAUAACAGGCUGAUACCGCCCAAGAGUUCAUAUCGACGGCGGUGUUUGGCACCUCGAUGUCGGCUCAUCACAUCCUGGGGCUGAAGUAGGUCCCAAGGGUAUGGCUGUUCGCCAUUUAAAGUGGUACGCGAGCUGGGUUUAGAACGUCGUGAGACAGUUCGGUCCCUAUCUGCCGUGGGCGCUGGAGAACUGAGGGGGGCUGCUCCUAGUACGAGAGGA